rfam:Candida tropicalis MYA-3404 genomic scaffold supercont3.3, whole genome shotgun sequence.
GCCCUGCUAGCGUAAUGGUUAACGCGUCUCCCUCCUACUGUCAUUAAAAAUUUUAUUUGUCACAGGAGAAAAGGAGAAGACUUCGGGUUCGAGUCCCGAGUAGGGUU